CCGCUGCCUGUUGAGGGAAAAGGUCAGCUUUGUGAAGGAGGCCAUAAUAAAGGUUCUGAAUCUGGUUUUGAUCUUCUCAGACCGAUGGCAGGCUGGAUUUGGAGCAUGGAAGAUCGAGUCUAUUGAUAAAAUGGAGUCAGAUUUUAAGAAUUGUCACAUGUUCCUAGUGACCAUCCUCAACAAGGCAGUUUGU